UCCAGCUUAUCGCUGGCGGUCUCCUGCGAGUCCCCCCUUGCGGGAUGGCAACACAGGACAAGGGUUGCGCUCGUUGCGGGACUUAACCCAACAUCUCACGACACGAGCUGACGACAGCCAUGCAGCACCUGUGUUAUGGUUCUCUUUCGAGCACUAAGCCAUCUCUGGCGAAUUCCAUACAUGUCAAGGGUAGGUAAGGUUUUUCGCGUUGCAUCGAAUUAAUCCACAUAAUCCACCGCUUGUGCGGGUCCCCGUCAAUUCCUUUGAGUUUUAGCCUUGCGGCCGUACUUCCCAGGCGGAGAACUUAAUGCGUUAGCUACGGCACCGCGGGGGUCAACACCCACGACACCUAGUUCUCAUCGUUUACGGCGUGGACUAC
rnacentral:misc_RNA from 1 species